rnacentral:tRNA from 1 species
GGUGGCUCAGUGGUAGAGCGCUUGCCUAGCAUGCAUGAGGCCCUGGGUUCGGUUCCUCAGCACCA